UAAUACCCCGUUUCCCCUAGUUAAGUUUAGAAUUUGUUUUAAACUUAGAUUUAAGAUGAUUCACGCCGGAUUGAGAAAAUGAAUUUAUUUUAAUUCCAGCAAAGAUGAUUUACAAAAAUAUAUUUGUAAAUUUAGUUAUUAAAUUUAUAUGCAUUGCAUAUUUAUUUAAAUUAGCAUUCAAGUAUUUUUCACGAGAUAUUUAUUUAGCGAAUACUGAGCGGUUGUUACAGUUUUCAUAAUACAACCCGGAAGAUUUUUUUUUAUUAUUUUAUUUUUUUUCAUCCUCCACCUUUCCUCCCACUCUCCCUCCCACUACACCCACUACCCACUACACCUACUCCUACACAACAAUACAUUCGUCCACUCCUCUCUGUCUGCCAUAUCUCAAUUAUAUUAAACCCAAAGAAAUUCAAGUGCAGAGGUAAGUUUUGAGCUUUGUAUUCCCUCAUUUCUUUCCAUUAUUCAUCCCACAAGUAUUGAGAAACCAAUAUGGCAGCUCUCUUCCAUUACUUCGAUCAGAGGGGUACUAGUAGCAAAUCCAGCAACUACACCUUUCAAUUUCAGUAACACAAAUCAAAGGUUUCAUCUAUGAAUUUCCUCCGUUCAUUUACACUUGCUCAUACUUAGAACACUUUAAUUGCAGUACCACAAACAUUUUCAGACUUCAAAUUCAUGAUAAGCAAUACACAAACCUUUUCAUCUACAUAGGUAUACAUAUCGAUUAUGCUUAUAUGAAAUCACUCAGAAUUUAUAUAUGUACAUACGCAUAUUUUGAGUAUAACUAUUUUUUUUACAAGAGAUUGAAUGAGUAUAAAAACCUACUGGAAUAAGAGAGAAGAAAGAUGGAGUCUUGAGUUUUGAUUUUUGCUUGUCUAGCCUGAGUGUUUUGGGNCAUCUGAGUGGGGAGUCGGUCCGGUGAUGAUGGCAGAGAGAGGUGAGGCGUCGGGUCGGGCAGUCUAGUGAGCCGAGAGAGAUACCGAGGGAGGCGGCGGCGCUCGUCGUCGCCAAGGGGGAUUCAAGGGAGCUGGUGGCAGCGGCUUGUCGGCGCUGCUCCUCUGGCGAGCUCCACGGUGGACGGCUGUUACCAGCCGAAGAGAGAGAGAUCAGAGGGAGAUGGGAGAUUGCCGGCAGCUAUUGUCGCCGGAGAAGGGGGCGCGGCUGCGGCUUGGCGGCGGCAGGGGGAGACCGAGGGGGGGCGUGAAUCUGAGAGAGAGAGGGAGACGAGCAGGGGGGGAUGAGUGAAUGAAAAGUGAGUGUUUGUGCGUGUGUUGCGGCUGAUGGGGGGGAUGAAGGCUAGGUGUUGGGCUAGGGUGAGGGUUGGGCUUUGGGGAUGGGUUUGAAUUUUCGAAUUGGGCUUGAAUUGGGCCGAUUUUAAUUGAGUAUUGGGCCGAGUAUUUGGGCCGAUUUUUUUUAUGAGUGAUGGGCUCCAAUUUUUAAAUAGAUUUGGGCUGCGAUUUUUAAAAGCUUGGGCCGAUUUUUAAUUUUAUUUAGUGGGCCGAGUUUUGUUUAUUAAAUCAGUUGGGCCCUUGGUUUUAAUAUUUGUGAUGGGCCUUAAUUCAAUUAUUUAAAAGAUGGGCCUAUUAUUGUUUUAUUAAAUUGGGCUUUCUUAAUUAAUUGAACUAUUAUUAGUUUGAUUAAUUUAUUUAAAGGAUAAUUUUCAUAAUAAUAUUAAAUUAUUAUUAUGUGCAUAUUUUAAGUAAAUUACUUAAUAAAUGCUAAGCAUGACAUGAAAUUGCAUUUAUUUUGCAAUAAAGUAUUUAAUUGGUUUUAAUUAUAAUUCCAAUUAUUUAAAGAAAAUCGAGUAAGGAUAUUGUUGGUGUCCUUAACUCAAGAAUUUAGUUUUCAAUUAUUUAUUUAUUAAAUUUUGAAAACCCGGCUAAGUGAAUCAUAGAAUGUUAAGCACUACACCAUGACUUAAGAUUAGAUUCAAGGAGACCUAUUAAGAAUAGAAUUUCUUGUAGGCUUUGUGGACCAAGGGGAUUAGCACUGCUUUCCCAAGACAGGUUAUGUGAUUAUGAUCUUCAGGCUUUGCCUAUCCAGGUGGGCUUACUUUCCAAAUGUACAAAGUAUGAUUGAGUUAUUAAGCUCUAAAUGUUUCAAUGAAAUGCAAAGUGUUUAUUUAAUGUAAUGAAAACUGUUUAUCCAAUAAAAUGUUUAUGUGCACUCUGCUCUGUUUAAGGCUCGCCACAACGAAUCAAUUGAGGUUCUCUUAUAGCCUAACACGUUAUUUGAGAAUUGUGUACACCGUUAGCUGACUCGGUGGGUUGAUCUCCAUUCGGGCACUAACUAAGAGGCGUUAUAAGGGUGCUUGCUGGAUGUGUUCCGAAGCAUGUAAUGUAAGGGCCUGCCUGGGUAGCGUCCCGAGGUCAAAAGUAACUUGUCUGGGUUACGCCCUCAGUUCAAGUAAAUGGGAGAAAUGGAUCCGUCGGUGGCUAGAGGUCCGGGAUCACAACGAGUAACAGAAAGGGAGUGUGACAUGUGCGCACAAAUGAAAGAAAAUGUUUUAACAUGCUUAGAAGUUCUUCAAUUUAAAACCUUCUAAGUCAUGUCAAGUAUGAUUGGAUAAACUGUCUUUACGAAAAUAUGAAAUGUUUAUGAAAAUGCAUGCCCACUGAGUACAUUAGUACUUAGCCCAAAAAUACUUUCAAAUGUUUUCAGGUUGGCUGGCCGGUGCUGACGGGACGGAGCUGAGGCUAGAGUUAAAUUCCUAUGAUAGACUUCAGC
rnacentral:lncRNA from 1 species